UUGUCACCUUUGACCUAUGCCUUUGACUUGCUAAGGCUAAAGUGUUAGCAGGCAGUGGCCUGCUUACACAUCCAGGAGAAAUGAUACAGAAACAUUAUCAUUCAUUUGGAGUCACGUCUCUGGCUAUCUGGUGAAUGUCGAGAAGACAUGAUUGUGCCAUGAAGCGCGUUCGCUGUGACUCAACCUGAAAACCCUGUCAGAGGACUGACUGUCCUGAACACACAGGAUCCGUCAGGAGUUGGUGCAGAGACCUGCGACACCGGCGACACGAACACUUGACGUCCACUUUCAACUGACACGAGGGAUUUCUUUCAGAUAACAGCGUGUAGACAAA